ensembl:lncRNA
AUGACUGACCUUGAUGUUUUGCUUAUUAGUUUGAAACAAGCACCGGGGGCAAGUUGGUGAACAUAAGUAAUUGGGUUAUAAGGCUUGCUAUGUUAAGGAUUUGUUGUAUUAGUAUGAGGCCUAUCGGAGUUUAUGCUAAAGGCUGGGUUUUAGCUAACCUAGUACAGUCCAGAAGGUCAUAAUUUUUAAAUUUCAUUCAGAGAAGGUAAAUAAGAGACCAAAGAAGGGACAAUGCACUGUAAAAUUCUGUAAUAGGGGAGUUUGAGGGUGGGGGGUUGCAGUUAGGUUGCUAGGCAAUAGGUAAGUAGUUAGACUACACUGACAUGCACAGGAAUUAUUAGGGAAAGAUUGAGAAAAGAUUGACACAAGUGUUAAUUAUGGACACAGAAUGCCACAGAUGGAAUAGGGGCAGGCAUUAUGAUGAUUCGGUACUAGAACAAAUAUGGAUAUACAUCUGUGAUAUCUGCAUAAUGUGGGGUAUAAGACACCAUGCCUAGUUCCCUUUUCUUGCUUUCUCUCCGGCUCUGAACUGAUGUCAACUGGAUCUGGGGCCUUCGGAGUUUCUCCACUUACUACUGUUUCACCCCUGUAUUUUGCUCGUCUAUUCGAGUGUGAGAGCAGGAAAGAGAAGACCUCCUUCCACCACAGUUCAUUCUGGAAGCAGAAUCAGGAAGAAAGCAAGGAGGUGGCACUAGAAGAAAGAUGCUGAAUAAAUGUACUUGAGCUUCCACCAAGGAUGAUCUCUUGAAGACAGUGAAGGUACUAUCACUGUAGAGGACAAAAGAAGUCAGUGUUGCAAGCUUUGCUUUGCACCUAGCAGAAAUUAAAGGCCCUGUUGUCAAUCUACCUCCCAGCUGCCUUUCUACUCCAGACAGGAUGAACCCUGUGCCCACCCUACACCUGGUUUGGAGUACGUUCUCCAUUGAGGAGCAGAGCCAAGGUUCCACCCAGUCUAUGUGUGAGGUGAGACAUAGGUUCCAUGGUGGUUGCUCUCCUCUCCAACCUUAUGCAAUAUGGGUACCUGGUGCUGGGGCCUAAGGACACCUUGAACCCCAGGCAUUAUCUGGUUUUAACUGAGGUUCUCAUGUUCUGCUUUGUGUAUUAUAGCAGGGUGCACAUUCUUAGCUCAGACAUAACUGGGCCUCUUUUCAUCUGAAACCCUUUGUGCACUCAGUUAAGGUCACUUGUAUUUCUAGCUUCUUAUUGCCCACUUGAAUCAAGUACUUUGUGGCUGAAAUUAACAUCACUUUGAUAUCAAAUAGAUGCAGGCACAAAACUGCAAUUGCACUUAUUUGUGAUUUGCAGUUUACUGGUGUGAAAAUAGAGACUAGCUUUACAAAAUCUGGCUCUUCAUUUACAAGGAAAUGAUAGUAAUUUAUUCAAAGAGUUGAACUGAUCCUGAUAGCUUUUUAGUGUUCUGAGGGGAAAAAUAUUUUCCCCUUUCAUAACAAUAGGUGUUCUCAUGUUUUUAUACCUAAUCUCUCUCUAGCAACAAAGUAUAAAUUGUUUUGAAAUUUACAAUGCUGCAACUAUAAAUAAGGGUGUGUUGGCCAUUCUUUCCUUAGGGGCACAAGAACUGGUCUGUUAGGCUAAAGAUUUUGAAGUUUAUUUUCAGGAUAUGUUACAGUAUUAUAAUGCAUGACCACUGACCCACAGUCAGCAUACAUAAUAGAAAAGUCUCAAACUUUAGCUCAAUUCAAAUCUCUGUCACUUGAGAUUAAGGAAAAUCUCGCUCUCCACAAGAGCAGGGCUUUUAUUUAUCUUUUGGCCAGCCACUAGAGGGUGGCACAACCAGGAAAUGAUAAACAUUUGAGCAGGUCCGUCUAAUAAAGAGAGGAGCGAAGGCA